rnacentral:rRNA from 1 species
GAUGAACGCUGGCGGCGUGCUUAACACAUGCAAGUCGAACGGAAAGGCUCCUGCUUGCAGGGGUACUCGAGUGGCGAACGGGUGAGUAACACGUGGGUGAUCUGCCCUGCACUUCGGGAUAAGCCUGGGAAACUGGGUCUAAUACCGGAUAGGACGAUGGUUUGGAUGCCAUUGUGGAAAGUUUUUCGGUGUGGGAUGAGCUCGCGGCCUAUCAGCUUGUUGGUGGGGGAAUGGCCUACCAAGGCGUCGACGGGUAGCCGGCCUGAGAGGGGGUACGGCCACAUUGGGACUGAGAUACGGCCCGGACUCCUACGGGGGGCAGCAGUGGGGAAUAUUGCACAAUGGGCGCAAGCCUGAUGCAGCGACGCCGCGUGGGGGAUGACGGCCUUCGGGUUGUAAACUCCUUUCGCUAGGGACGAAGCGCAAGUGACGGUACCUGGAGAAGAAGCACCGGCUAACUACGU